GCGAUUGGGACCCUUCCGAUUCCAAGAAGUGCCGCCGGUUUGCCAUCUAUCCCUUUGCCUUCUCUCUCUCACCAGGUUUAGGCUUAGGUUUCUCGAUGUAUUUCCGGUUAAUCUUUUUGGAGAGGUCAGCAUCAGCUACUCGGAAUUGAUUUCGUUCAAAGAAGGUAGGUUCCUUGUGGACCCUUAUAUCUUUGUUCUUUCCUUUUCCUUGUGGCUGAGGAGUGUUUUGGUUUCCGAGCUCCACUUUCGAGUACUCGGUUUCUGUGAUGCUGGCUUAAUCGGUUCCAACCGACCCGUCUUGAAACACGGACCAAGGAGUCUAACAUAUGUGCGAGUAUGCGGGUUUUACUCCUGUAUGCGCAAUGAAAGUGAGAGUAGGGAGAUUUUGGCUUUGCCAUUCUUCGCACCUACGACCGACCACGAUCUCUGAGAGAGGUUUGAGUUGGAGCAUAUCUGUUAGGACCCGAAAGAUGGUGAACUAUGCCUGAGUAGAAUGAAGUCAGGGGAAACCCUGAUGGAGGUUCGUAGCGAUACUGACGUGCAAAUCGUUCGUCAAACUUGGGUAUAGGGGCGAAAGACUAA
rnacentral:rRNA from 2 species